rnacentral:rRNA from 1 species
UGCCGGACCUGACUGCUAUCGUAUUGGUACUAAGCCAUGCGAGUCGUUGUACAAUACAAGGCGGACUGCUCAGUAACACGUAGUUAACUUAACCUAUGGAUGGGCAUAACCUCGGGAAACUGAGAAUAAUACCCAAUGGACCACAGUGCCUGGAAUGGCCUGUGGUUGAAAUGAUUUAUCGCCGUAGGAUAGGACUGCGGCCUAUCAGCUUGUUGGUGAGGUAAUGGCCCACCAAGGCUAUAACAGGUACGGGCUCUGAGAGGAGGGGCCCGGAGAUGGGUACUGAGACACGGACCCAGGCCCUAUGGGGCGCAGCAGGCGAGAAACCUUUGCAAUGUGCGAAAGCACGACAAGGUUAAUCCGAGUGUCUCCUGCUAAAGGAGUCUUUUGUCAGUUGUAGAAUCACUGGUGAAUAAGGGGUGGGCAAGUUCUGGUGUCAGCCGCCGCGGUAAAACCAGCACCUCGAGUGGUCAGGAGGUUUAUUGGGCCUAAAGCAUCCGUAGCCGCGUGCAUAAGUUUUCGGUUAAAUCUAUGCCGCUUAACGUAUAGGCCGCCGACAAUACUGUGCAGC